GCACCCAUCGUCUAUCGGUGAGGAUACCACACUUUCACUGUGGGGAGACCGGUUCGAUUCCGGUUGGGUGUUCCA
rnacentral:tRNA from 1 species